UACGUAGGGGGCAAGCGUUGUCCGGAUUUAUUGGGCGUAAAGAGCGUGUAGGCGGCCAUACAGGUCCGUUGUGAAAACUGGAGGCUUAACCUCCAGACGUCGAUGGAAACCGUAUGGCUAGAGUCCGGAAGAGGAGAGUGGAAUUCCUGGUGUAGCGGUGAAUGCGCAGAUAUCAGGAGGAACACCGGUGGCGAAGGCGGUUCUCUGGGCCUUACCUGACGCUGAGGAGCGAAAGCGUGGGGAGCGAACAGG
rnacentral:rRNA from 1 species